rnacentral:rRNA from 1 species
UACGUAGGGUGCAAGCGUUAAUCGGAAUUACUGGGCGUAAAGCGUGCGCAGGCGGUUAUGUAAGACAGUUGUGAAAUCCCCGGGCUCAACCUGGGAAUUGCAUCUGUGACUGCAUAGCUAGAGUACGGUAGAGGGGGAUGGAAUUCCGCGUGUAGCAGUGAAAUGCGUAGAUAUGCGGAGGAACACCGAUGGCGAAGGCAAUCCCCCUGGACCUGUACUGACGCUCAUGCACGAAAGCGUGGGGGAGCAAACAGG